AGUGAACGCUGGCGGUAGGCCUAACACAUGCAAGUCGAACGGCAGCACAGAGGAGCUUGCUCCUUGGGUGGCGAGUGGCGGACGGGUGAGGAAUACAUCGGAAUCUACUCUGUCGUGGGGGAUAACGUAGGGAAACUUCCGCUAAUACCGCAUACGACCUACGGGUGAAAGCAGGGGAUCUUCGGACCUUGCGCGAUUGAAUGAGCCGAUGUCGGAUUAGCUAGUUGGCGGGGUAAGGGCCAACCAAGGCGACGAUCCGUAGCUGGUCUGAGAGGAUGAUCAGCCACACUGGAACUGAGACACGGUCCAGACUCCUACGGGAGGCAGCAGUGGGGAAUAUUGGACAAUGGGCGCAAGCCUGAUCCAGCCAUACCGCGUGGGUGAAGAAGGCCUUCGGGUUGUAAAGCCCUUUUGUUGGGAAAGAAAUCCAUCUGGUUAAUACCCGGGUGGGAUGACGGUACCCAAAGAAUAAGCACCGGCUAACUUCGUGCCAGCAGCCGCAGUAA
rnacentral:rRNA from 1 species